rnacentral:rRNA from 1 species
ACGAACGCUGGCGGCGUGCUUAACACAUGCAAGUCGAACGGAAAGGCCCUGCUUUUGUGGGGUGCUCGAGUGGCGAACGGGUGAGUAACACGUGAGUAACCUGCCCUUGACUUUGGGAUAACUUCAGGAAACUGGGGCUAAUACCGGAUAGGAGCUCCUGCUGCAUGGUGGGGGUUGGAAAGUUUCGGCGGUUGGGGAUGGACUCGCGGCUUAUCAGCUUGUUGGUGGGGUAGUGGCUUACCAAGGCUUUGACGGGUAGCCGGCCUGAGAGGGUGACCGGCCACAUUGGGACUGAGAUACGGCCCAGACUCCUACGGGAGGCAGCAGUGGGGAAUAUUGCACAAUGGGCGGAAGCCUGAUGCAGCAACGCCGCGUGCGGGAUGACGGCCUUCGGGUUGUAAACCGCUUUCGCCUGUGACGAAGCGUGAGUGACGGUAAUGGGUAAAGAAGCACCGGCUAACUACGUGCCAGCAGCCGCGGUGAUACGUAGGGUGCGAGCGUUGUCCGGAUUUAUUGGGCGUAAAGGGCUCGUAGGUGGUUGAUCGCGUCGGAAGUGUAAUCUUGGGGCUUAACCCUGAGCGUGCUUUCGAUACGGGUUGACUUGAGGAAGGUAGGGGAGAAUGGAAUUUCC